CUGUCUCUACAAAUAAAUAAAAUAAAAUAAAUAAAAAAUAAAAUGGCAGUUUUAUAGCACUUUUUUGUGGCCUGAAAUUAUUGACAGGAUAAUAGGGUGGUAGAGUUGCAUGAUUUAGCAAAUAAAAAUCCCAGAUACCCAGUUAAGUUUGAAUUUCAAAUAAACAAGGAAUUAUUUCCUUUUUAGUGUAUGUCCCAAAUACUGCAUGAGAUAUACUUGUGCUGAAAAGUAAUUCCUUGUUUACGUGAAAUUCAAAUUUAACUGAGCAUCCCAUAUUUUACCUGAUAACCCAAGUAGUGGGUAAUGGGUAAGGGCAACAUAAAAUACAGUGGUCAGGGAAGGCUUCUGUUCUAAGACGCUUUCAGGCAGGGAACAAUGUGCUUUUUGAAGGUCUAUGUGAUAGAAACAGAUACUAAGUAUUUGCAUAGUGUUUGCUUGGGUCAGGCACUGUUCUAGGUACUUAACAUAUAUUAAUGUAUUUAAUCUUCGCAAUAGUCCUGGGAGAUAGAUUCUGCUAUUCUCCCCAUUUGGCAGAUAGAAAAACUGAGGCACAGACACGGUAAGUAACUUAUCCAAGGUCAGAAGUAGCCAGUCAGUCUGGCUCCAAAGUUUGUGCUCUAACCACUGUUGCCUGUCAUGUAAGUCCACCAUUGGAAGCAUUCCAUUUUACCGAAAUCAAGGAAGUAUCUUGAGAUGUACUGCUAUUUCAGCCAGCUGAGGAAGACACUGUACUCUCCCCUCUCUAUAUACACUUCCUGUCCUCCCUGAUGAUAACAUUUGAAUAGCACUUUUUACUUACAAUCACUUUUAUAUGCAUUUUUAUUGGAACACUAUCUAAGUUUGAUGAAUCAGGUAUAAGCAGACAAGGAGGGUCUCCAACGAUUAUAGGAAUUUAAUCAACUUGAACAAUCAGCCUGUUUUACAGCCUCCUGCCCUUCAGCCUGUUUUUCCCCAAACUCCAUGUGGAAUGCGGUCACCUUGUUAGUUGGAACCAGCUCCUGACAGAUCCUGGCAAUUUAUAGAUGAGCCCAAGUGAACAUUCCUCAUGACCAUGCUGAAGUUUCCACUCCAGGAGGAGCCACAGCUUCACUACCAUAACAUACAACCUAUGUGCUGGCAGAAUGACUCACUGCCUCUGCAUCACUGGGACCCCUUCUCUACAUGCAACAAUGUGCCCUCUCUCCUAUCCAUCACUCCAUUAAACCCUCCUGCCAUUUUCCCUCAGGGAAAUGCUGCUUUGGAAAAUACUCCCAGGGUUCUCACUUGCACCAAGUAAUAAAACUCUUACUGAUGAUUGAUGAAAACCUGUGUUCUCGUGGAGAGUCUUUUGUUACUUGCCAGAAAGCUUGGCCCACCAGCCCCAAGAUAGCAAGCUUGGUUGAAUCUUCCUCAAGGAGAAACACUUCCCCUCCAUGUUCUGAUCUGCAGAGUGGUGGAUGCUGCUUUUCUGCAGGCACAAUGGACAGAAAUGUAGGAUACUUGAUGAGCACCUCUUGAUAAAAGUGAGAGCUCCACUUGGAAAACAGAGUGAUGAGGAGGAUUCAGAUCUGCUUACUCUGAUCCAAUUCCACUGAGGAAGCUGUUGUGGCAGGGAGAUAGCCUGCAACUGAGGUGCCCAGGUAAGAUUCUAGCCAGAUUCCAAACUCAGAAAUAUUCAGUCCUCCUACAUUCUGGGGGAAGAAUUGGCUGAAACUUCAAGAAAAUUCUUUCAUUUGACGAUUUGACACUUGGAGUCUCUUGGUUUUGGGUAGAGCUUGAAAUCUCUGACUCAAUAAACUGGAAGCCUGAAAAGAGGAAAACGUACCAUUCUUCUAUACUUAUUAGAAGUUGACCCAAAGUUAGUACCUGAAGCCACUUAAAGGUGACUAAGGAUUCACUCUGAAGAUGAAAGUGACUGAAAUGAUGAGCUGGUACAGACCCACGCAGUCCUGGAAAAAGGAAAUGGGGCAGCUGAGAAGCAGCAGCCCUGGAAGAAAGAAAGAUCAAAACACACUUCAUGGAGAGCCGCAGGAAACACUGAUGACAUCAGAUCCUAGGAGCCCUCUCGACAUUUCCCAGCGGUCUUGAAGCCAAUACAUAGCAUCCUCUUGGAAGCGAACCUUUUGAGAACAUCAGAAUGAAAAGAACACAAGAACACGAGUGUCCUCUAUGCUGAGGACACAGAAAGGCUUUAGGGAGAGCCAGGAUACAGCACUUAAACCAAGAUGGCCAUUCUGGUGCAUGCACAGAGAGCAAUGGCAGCUUAGGUUGGGGGUAGCGGGUGGGGCAUGGGAUGAGAUUUGGGUUCUACUUCAGUUCUAGGUGCUAUGAAGUCUUAGAAUGAUUUCUUUUUAAAUAACUGUCUAGCAAGGACUGGUUUAGGGGGAACUCCCAUGGUCUCCUCCUUGGAGGUGAAGUAAAACAAGAAAAAGUCAAGCCCUAGAGAAUUCACAUAUAUUUAACUCAUCUGAUCCACUGGGAAACCCUUGAUCAAUUCUGUAAUCUUGCUACCAUAGAACUUCAAUGACAGUGUCAGCUGCUUCAAAACCCUUAGUGACAUUUCCUGGAAACAGACUUCAUUCUGUGUUCAGCUUUCACUUGACACAUUUCAGGCCUGAUGAUUUUAAAUGAGGGAGAAAAAAAACGUUGUUAAAUAUUACUGCAAAAUUUUACUUGGCUUAAUGGCCAAUAAAAUAACACAGUGUGUUCAGGUGGCUCAGCCUUCCGGUUUGACCAUCUGGCCUGAUGAAUAUGCCCAAUUUCUCUUAUCUUUUGCUGGCUUUCCCUCCAUUGCCUAUUUGAGUUCUUGGUCCUCAGCAUAAUUGGCUCCUGAGACCUUCUUAAAGGGCAUGUCCUGACACAGAUCUAACAAUACUUUAAUAAGGUUUAAAAAGAGUUUAAUAGAGUUUAAUAAAGAAAACCCAUGAUAGAAGAAACUCCAGUCAGUCAAGAGUGCCAGCCUUCCUCGCGUGGCUUAAAAAUACACCUUAAGAACAUUGGUAUUUCUUAUUCAAACAAAAUGCUCAAAGGGAAUAGCCACUCAUUCCUUCUCCUACAACAUUCUGGAUUUAGCAUUUAGGAAGGAGCAGGGACCUUUCAAGAAAGAGAGGCCUGAACCAUUUAAAAAUCGAGAAAAAGUUGCAGAAAUGGUAAGUCUGGCCUGCUUAGACUGAUGGAAUCUUAGAAUUUCCACAGAAGACUGACAACUGAAAAGACAAUGAGUCACACUAUCUAGAACAUUUCUAGACCAUCUUGCCCCACAGGACAAGGCAAACAAAUAUAGAAACACGGUCACCUUGUGAGUUCAAGCCAAAAAUACUUCCCAAUUUUCCCAUGAUAAAAACACUUUCCCAUUUAAUUUUAUGACAUUUUAGAGUUUAUGUAAAAACAAUCUGAAGAAGUAGAUUUAGCAUACGCAUAACAAUUUUUUAUCUUCACUUGGCUAUGGUAAAGUAAUUGUUAAGAGUAAUUGUUACAAAACCGUUUUCAGGCAUUGAAUAACAGGCAGGGAAGACCACAAUAGCUAAGAUCAAGGAAACUCACAAGGAGAGCCCCAAGAUCACCCAGCUUUCUUCCUGGGUACAAUUUUUUUGACGUCAACCUAGUGAGCUGGAGUCCAGGCAGAGUGCAGGUGUCCCACCAAGCAAAAGAGGCAGAGGUCAGAAUUCAGGGCAGCUAAAAGAGCCGGAUUCUAUAUGGUAAGGCAUCAGAGGCAGAAAGCUGAACAUGGGGUGUAUGAGAGUUCCUUGAUAUUACUAGUUGAGGGUUACGCUUUGCAGAUUACAUGGAAAAGCUUAGGAGAAAGUGGCUGUUAAUAGUAUUGAGAAUGCAAAAGAGUUUAUAGACACAAAUCAGUGCUGAGGGGCAUUGGUGGUCCAGUCCAGUUAAAGUGGAAAGAGCUCAUUAACACUCCAGCAUCUAGUUAAGACAUCAGAAAGUACUUACUUUAAAAGAAAGCGCCACACUUUUAGAGAACGACCUAUUCUAGACCCACCCAACAGAGUCUAAAAUAAAAAGACUGAAGCAAAAUUAACAGAGCAUCAGGAACUUCUGGGAGAAUAUUGGGAACCCUAUUAAACAUGUAAUUAGAGGCUCAGAAGGAGAAAAGAGCAAGAAAGCAGCAGAAAAAGUACUUAGAAAUUAAUGGCCAAAUAUUUCCUAUAUUUGAUAAUAAACACUGACUUAUAGAUGCAAGUGCUCUGUGAAUCCACAACAGGAUAAAUGCAAAGAAAACCACACCCAGGCAAAUCAGACUCAAACAGCUAAAAUUCAAAAUUAAACGAAAUAUCUUGAAAGUGGAUAAAGCACAGUACAUACAGGGAAACUAAGGAUGAUAGCUUCUAUUGAAACUAAGGAGAAAUAUGAGAAAGUAUCCUUUAUAGAGAAAUAUGAGAAAGUAUCCUUUAUAAACAUAAAAAUGAAAACUGAAAAAUGCAUUACCAUAAGACCUGAAUUAUAACAAAGGCUAAAUGUUACUUUUCAGGCUGAAAGGAUCUAAUACCAGAUGGAAACUUGGCUAUGUGGGAAGGAAAAAAGACCACUGGAAGUGGUAAAUAAUUAGAUAAAUAUAUGACAGUUUUUUCCUCAUAUUCUGAAAAGACAUCUGACUUUUUUAAGGAAAAAUUAUAACACUAAUUUGAUGCUCACAGUAUAUU
rnacentral:lncRNA from 10 species